rnacentral:rRNA from 1 species
UACGUAGGGUGCAAGCGUUAUCGGAAUUACUGGGCGUAAAGCGUGCGCAGGCGGCUUUGCAAGACAGAUGUGAAAUCCCCCGGGCUUAACCUGGGAACUGCAUUUGUGACUGCCUGGCUGGACGUGCGGCAGAGGGGGAUGGGAAUUCCGCGUGUAGCAGUGAAAUGCGUAGAUAUGCGGAGGAACACCGAUGGCGAAGGCAAUCCCCUGGGCCUGCACUGACGCUCAUGCACGAAAGCGUGGGGAGCAACAGG